rnacentral:lncRNA from 1 species
GAGCCAUUUUAAGGUUUUUUUUAUAAAAUAGCAUCUCUUUUUCUAAAUACUAUACAGGUUCUGAGCUGUAACAGAGUCUUUUCACCGGUGUAAUAAAAAACAGACACAAAUCAAACCUUAUUUCUACUAUUACAUAUUAAAUUUUACCAUAUAAAUACUAUUUUAUAUAAUUAACAUGAUUUGUGUAUCAAUCUGUUGUGGAUAUAUCAUAUUAUAUAUUUCAGUUCAGAAAUUGAACUUAACAGGUGGAAAACUCUCUAACAAAUUUCAAGUUGUUCACAUGCAAUCAUAAUACAACCAUAAGAUUAUUAUUACUUAAUAAGACGAAAAGUUCUUUUAAUGACAACCAUUUCUACUAAGGGUCAGUGGUUCUCUCCUGGACUUUGACUUCCUCAACCAAUAAAAAUUAACUGCCACAAUAGCACAGUAUUGCUGAAGGUGGCAAUAAAACACCUAUCAAUUAUUCAAUGAUGCAUUUUUAGUCAUAAACAACCUGAAAUAAAUACCGGAAAGUCUACAUUAUUCCAACAUUAUCCUUUUUAUAAGUAAAACUUCAUAUUCUGAAUAACUUUAUAAACAUAACAAUAUACUGUUAACAACAUGUAUCUAUUACAACACUUUAAAACUUUAAAAAGUAGGUAUGCUCUAAUAAUAAUCUUUGAGGAAUGACUUUGGCUGAACAACACCUUUAUUAAGUACAGGGCCAUCUUUGUGUAGGUACAACACAGGCCACACUAUAAAGUCAACAUAAUCUCCAGCUUUUGUGUAGGAGCGUAAUAUAUUAGUUUCUAUCUUUGUAUCACUAGGGAAAUCCCACUCAAUGUAAAAUGGUGGAUCUUGUAUCUGCAUCAUCCAGGCAUACUUAAUACAAUCUGCUACAAACUUAGAACAUGCUGUAAUAUGUUCCUCGGUUAGGUCUCGUGUUUUCAUCAAGUAAUCAGGUAGUUUCU